rnacentral:rRNA from 1 species
GUACUCUGGGUCACCUCCCACCCGUGUCUAUCGUACCUUGUUGCUUCGGCGGGCCCGCCGUUUCGACGGCCGCCGGGGAGGCCUUGCGCCCCCGGGCCCGCGCCCGCCGAAGACCCCAACAUGAACGCUGUUCUGAAAGUAUGCAGUCUGAGUUGAUUAUCGUAAUCAGUUAAAACUUUCAACAACGGAUCUCUUGGUUCCGGCAUCGAUGAAGAACGCAGCGAAAUGCGAUAAGUAAUGUGAAUUGCAGAAUUCAGUGAAUCAUCGAGUCUUUGAACGCACAUUGCGCCCCCUGGUAUUCCGGGGGGCAUGCCUGUCCGAGCGUCAUUGCUGCCCUCAAGCACGGCUUGUGUGUUGGGCCCCCGUCCCCCUCUCCCGGGGGACGGGCCCGAAAGGCAGCGGCGGCACCGCGUCCGGUCCUCGAGCGUAUGGGGCUUUGUCACCUGCUCUGUAGGCCCGGCCGGCGCCAGCCGACACCCAACUUUAUUUUUCUAAGGUUGACCUCGGAUCAGGUAGGGAUACCCGCUGAACUUAAGCAUAUCAA